GAGUUUGAUCCUGGCUCAGGAUGAACGCUGGCGGCGUGCUUAACACAUGCAAGUCGAACGGACUCAUAUUGAAACCUAGUGAUGUAUGAGUUAGUGGCGGACGGGUGAGUAACGCGUGGAGAACCUGCCGUAUACUGGGGGAUAACACUUAGAAAUAGGUGCUAAUACCGCAUAAGCGCACAGCUUCGCAUGAAGCAGUGUGGAAAACAAAAAGCUAAAGCUUUUGGUGGUAUACGAUGGAUCCGCGUCUGAUUAGCUAGUUGGUGGGGUAAAGGCCCACCAAGGCGACGAUCAGUAGCCGGCCUGAGAGGGUGAACGGCCACAUUGGGACUGAGACACGGCCCAAACUCCUACGGGAGGCAGCAGUGGGGAAUAUUGCACAAUGGGGGAAACCCUGAUGCAGCGACGCCGCGUGAGUGAAGAAGUAUUUCGGUACGUAAAGCUCUAUCAGCAGGGAAGAAAAUGACGGUACCUGACUAAGAAGCCCCGGCUAACUACGUGCCAGCAGCCGCGGUAAUACGUAGGGGGCAAGCGUUAUCCGGAUUUACUGGGUGUAAAGGGAGCGUAGACGGCAGCGCAAGUCUGGAGUGAAAUCCCAUGGCUUAACCAUGGAACUGCUUUGGAAACUGUGCAGCUGGAGUGCAGGAGAGGUAAGCGGAAUUCCUAGUGUAGCGGUGAAAUGCGUAGAUAUUAGGAGGAACACCAGUGGCGAAGGCGGCUUACUGGACUGUAACUGACGUUGAGGCUCGAAAGCGUGGGGAGCAAACAGGAUUAGAUACCCUGGUAGUCCACGCUGUAAACGAUGAUUACUAGGUGUUGGGGGACCAAGGUCCUUCGGUGCCGUCGCAAACGCAUUAAGUAAUCCACCUGGGGAGUACGUUCGCAAGAAUGAAACUCAAAGGAAUUGACGG
rnacentral:rRNA from 1 species